GUACUAAUUACAUUAAUAAUAAUUGACAUCAGUGAGCUUUGGAUCAACCUCUGACGGAAUACAUUUACAUCUCGUUAGUUCCCCUGAUGGAGUUAUGCUUCUGCUUCUUCUACAGACACAGGGGGACUGCAGGAGGAUCUGCCUGUCCAGCCACAGUGGGUCCUCUGGCCUGGAUGUGGGGAGCGAUGCGAUGCCAGGAGCUCCUUUGAGCUGGCUGGAGGAGAGCUCAGUUUCCAGUGGAUCUGUGCCGUGAUGCUGACAGAUUUUGCUGUCUACAAGGUGAAUACUGCAGACUCACCACGGUGCUCACCUGUUGAAAACUGCCAACCAUUGAUCACACUUCCAGCCACUUUCCCCUUCUACCAAAAACCUUUGGACCAUUUGGCUGAUUGCAGCCAAGCUGGGAAGAGGAAUGGAAUUCAUGGAGGCAGCUUCCAGGUUCAUCAGAACAGGUCCCUCUGCAGAUGAGAUGCCAGAGAUCCCAUGGAGGCGAGGAGGACCAAGGUGAGAGCAGCCAGGGAAUAACUUGGCACAGUGCUGGGCUUCGCCCAUCCUGCGCUGCAUCACCACACUGCUUUCUUUUUCAGUGUCUUUCUAGAUGCAUGUUGAAAUAGAGGACAAGUUCUGAACAGAGAAGCAUUUUUCAGUACGCCUGUGCAGAGCCCAGUGAAACACACUUCUGAUAUCAGGUGACUGCUGUAAGUAACAGCUAUAUAGACCGCUGGCUCAAUCCGUUCUCAUACAACAGGAAUUUUCCUGCUUUGCCUUUUUUUAAUCAGUAAUUCAAAAAGAUACUUCCCUGGAAUUGCUGUAAUCACUGAAAAUGACUGAUCUGUCCUCAUCAGUAUUUCUUUUCCUCCUCUUUUCUGAACGCUUCUCCCUGUAGUGCUGGUAAUGCUCGUCUGUAUGCAGCUUUCCUUACAUUUUGGCAGGCAUGGGGGAUUUCAGCAGCAGUAAAUUUGAAUGGAUAGAAUUAAGAAGGAAGACAGCUUGCUGGAACACAGAGCAAGGCUUUUUUGGGUAUUUUUUUUCUUUUUCUUUUGUUUUUCCUAGAUAUAUCAUCUAUGAAUUCUCACCUGGGACUGCUUUUACAUAGAAAAAAAAUCAUGUGCCUAAAUGUCUAUCGGCU
rnacentral:lncRNA from 1 species